rnacentral:lncRNA from 12 species
AAUUGGCCAUUGUGCAAUGGCACUUUUUCUGUAAUGUUUACUGUAGUACAGAAUAUUGUAUUUUUCUCUGUGGACGAGUCAGCAGUUUGACAUUAAAAGCAGGGUGGCCAGCAGGCUGAGAGAGGUGACUCUGCUGCUCUGCUCUGGUGAGACCCCAGCUGCAGUGCUGUGUCCAGCUCUGGGGUCCCCAGCAGGAGAAGGGAGAAGUUCCUGUUGGAACAAGUCCAAAGAAGGCUGUGAAGAUGCUCAGAAGGCUGGAGCACCUCUGCUUUGGAGACAGGAUGACAGAGCUGGAGUUACCCAGCCUGGAGAAAAGAAGGGAGAGUUUGGAGUCCCUUUUCAGUCCUUUAGGGACUUCAGAGCCUCUAAACAGGCUACAAGGAUAGCUGGAGAGGGAUUUUUUACAAGCAUGUUUUGUGAUGCUGGAGUGGUUUGAAACUGAAAGAGGGGAGGUUUAGACAAAAUGUUAGGGGGAGUUCUUUACUUGGAGAUUAGCAAGACACUGGAUGCUGGGGGAAGUUGUGGAUGCCCGUCCCUGGAAGGGCUCAUGGCCAAACCCAUUCUAUGACUGGGACAUUGAUUUAUGGAUUCCUGUCCCUGGAAGGGCUCAUGGCCAAAUCCAUUCUAUGACUGGGACAUUGAUUUAUGGAUUGUUUAGGGGGUUUAUCCCCAAUUUUGAUUUUUCUUCUCUGCCUUCUCUCUCCUUCUCCCAGUCCCAAUUGUUAUGUGGAAGGGAAAGUUAAAACAUUCUUCAGUGAGAAUUAAUGCUUCGGUCAUAUUCUCCAGAGCUUUGCAAGGAGGAACACCUUAAGAUAAGGAGAGACAGCUUCCUAUGACAGCAGGAAAGUUUGACUCUGCUGUCAUUUAAAAUACCGUUUCAAAGGUCAUGUUUGUGUUUUAAAUGAAAUGUGAAGCUGAACUUUAUGCUCUGCCAGAUAACAGUGGUAGUGAUGCAAGUGCUUCCUUUGAAUUCUGCAGGUUUUCCCUCAGAAGUGGCACAUGGGCUCUACCUCUCCUGUCCUGCUUGUGCACCUUCUGCCCUACGUGACCAAGAUCCUGCUCUGCACCCCUGGGAGGGUUUUGUAUUUUUUGUUUACAUGGUGGAUCUUGAUGAACCUCUGAGCUCAAGGCAAUAUGAUCUCCUAUCCCUCUCCUCCCUGAGGGAUGCAGGGGGACUGAAGGAGCAGCUGCUUAGAGAUUCCUGGCAGAGAAUCUUGCCCUUGGCACUCUGA